rnacentral:lncRNA from 1 species
AAGAAAGCCUGCUGAAAUGGAAAACUACUGAUGAAGGAAGGAUUGUUCAUCUCUUAGGCUUUCCAUUUGGAUGGGCCUGCCUUAACAUUGUUUGAAAUGCAGUGAGCAAUUGCAGAAGUCUAAAGAUUUCUAGAAGGAAGGACUGCAGAAGACGUUUUUGUUCAAGGGAGGCAGGGACAGAAGCCACAGGAACAAUGAGUACCCCUGGGGCCAGUGGGCAGCGUCACCUCUAGGUCUGACUUCCAGAAGGUUCAUCUGAUGGCAAGUUGAUGCUGGGAAACAAAGGAAAAAUUGGACAGACUCUUGAC